rnacentral:tRNA from 2 species
GCGGGUGUAGCUCAAUGGCUAGAGCCUCAGAUUUCCAAUCUGAUGAUGAGGGUUCGAUUCCCUUCACCCGCUCCA